rnacentral:rRNA from 1 species
GAUGAACGCUGGCGGCGUGCCUAACACAUGCAAGUCGAGCGAUUUACUUCGGUAAAGAGCGGCGGACGGGUGAGUAACGCGUGGGUAGCCUGCCCUGUACACACGGAUAACAUACUGAAAGGUAUGCUAAUACGGGAUAACAUAAGAGAGUCGCAUGGCUUUCUUAUCAAAGCUUUUGCGGUACAGGAUGGACCCGCGUCUGAUUAGCUAGUUGGUAAGGUAACGGCUUACCAAGGCGACGAUCAGUAGCCGACCUGAGAGGGUGAUCGGCCACAUUGGAACUGAGACACGGUCCAAACUCCUGCGGGAGGCAGCAGUGGGGAAUAUUGCACAAUGGGCGAAAGCCUGAUGCAGCAACGCCGCGUGAGCGAUGAAGGCCUUCGGGUCGUAAAGCUCUGUCCUCAAGGAAGAUAAUGACGGUACUUGAGGAGGAAGCCCCGGCUAACUACGUGCCAGCCGCCGCGGUAA